rnacentral:rRNA from 1 species
UGAUCUGACGAGCUUGCUCUGAUUUGAUUUUAUCUGACAAAGAGUGGCGAACGGGUGAGUAACACGUGGGUAACCUACCUCUUAGCAGGGGAUAACAUUUGGAAACAAGUGCUAAUACCGUAUAAUACCAACAACCGCAUGGUUGUUGGUUGAAAGAUGGUUCUGCUAUCACUAAGAGAUGGACCCGCGGUGCAUUAGCUAGUUGGUAAGGUAACGGCUUACCAAGGCAAUGAUGCAUAGCCGAGUUGAGAGACUGAUCGGCCACAAUGGGACUGAGACACGGCCCAUACUCCUACGGGAGGCAGCAGUAGGGAAUCUUCCACAAUGGGCGCAAGCCUGAUGGAGCAACGCCGCGUGUGUGAUGAAGGGUUUCGGCUCGUAAAACACUGUUAUAAGAGAAGAACGGCACUGAGAGUAACUGUUCAGUGUGUGACGGUAUCUUACCAGAAAGGAACGGCUAAAUACGUGCCAGCAGCCGCGGUAAUACGUAUGUUCCAAGCGUUAUCCGGAUUUAUUGGGCGUAAAGCGAGCGCAGACGGUUAUUUAAGUCUGAAGUGAAAGCCCUCAGCUCAACUGAGGAAUGGCUUUGGAAACUGGAUGACUUGAGUGCAGUAGAGGAAAGUGGAACUCCAUGUGUAGCGGUGAAAUGCGUAGAUAUAUGGAAGAACACCAGUGGCGAAGGCGGCUUUCUGGACUGUAACUGACGU